CAGACAGCGUAUGCAAUCUUAUCCUAGACCCCCAAUGGCGCUCUACAGGUCCGGUGGCGUUCUCAUUUCGAGCCCAGCACUCGCUCCCUCCAAAACACCAAUCUCAACCAUUCACCUUCAACAUUUCCCGACAAUUUCCUCAAAACCCAUAUUCAAAAACACCACCGCAAAGCCACUAAGAGCCACGAAGACACCCCAGAAGUACGUGUACCCUGACCCAAUCCCCCAAUUUGCAGAAUCUUAGACCCAGAAGUUCAAGGCUGAGCUUUCCAGGAAGCUGUUGAAGGACAAGGAGACUUUUGGGGAUGACCUCCAUGGCGUCAUAGGCGUUUGUUCAUAGAUAUUCAGUGAGUUCUUUCUCAAGGAGUAUGGAGGACCGGGGACAUUAUUGGUGGAGCCUUUCACCGAUAUGCUGGUUGCUCUCAAGGAGAAGGAAUUACCAGGAGCACCUUUGGCUGCAAGGGCAUCUCUGUUAUGGGCUCAAAGCUAUUUAGAUCAAGACUGGGAAAUUUGGAACUCAAAAUCACCAAACUAAUGUUGUUUCUUCAUUUACAAUCCACACAAGUCUAAAUUGUUCAUUUGGUGUUUUAUUUCU